rnacentral:rRNA from 1 species
AGUGAACGCUGGCGGCGUGCUUAACACAUGCAAGUCGAACGAGAACGGGUUAUAGCUUGCUAUAAUUGUCAGCUAAGUGGCGCACGGGUGAGUAAUGUAUAGGUAAUAUGCCUCUUACUAAGGGAUAACAAAUGGAAACGUUUGCUAAUACCUUAUACUCCUUAUUAACAGAAGUUAAUAAGGGAAAGAUUUAUUGGUAAGAGAUUAGCCUGUAUUGUAUCAGUUAGUUGGUGGGGUAAUGGCCUACCAAGACUAUGACAAAAAACUGGUUUGAGAGGAUGAUCAGUCACACUGGAACUGAAACACGGUCCAGACUCCUACGGGAGGCAGCAGUGGGGAAUAUUGCACAAUGGACGAAAGUCUGAUGCAGCAACGCCGCGUGGAGGAUGACACAUUUCGGUGCGUAAACUCCUUUUAUAUGAGAAGAUAAUGACGGUAUUAUAUGAAUAAGCACCGGCUAACUACGUGCCAGCAGCCGCCGUAAUAC